AGCCCUAGGCUCAGUGGUUUAACCACAGCGCCACCUGGGUCCCAUUAUUAUUAUUACUAUUACUAUUAUUAUAUAUCGCCCUAUACCCACAGGUCUCAGGGCAGUUACAACAUAAAACCACAAUAUAAAUAUAAAUAAAAAUACAUAAUAAGAACCCAAUAAACCCCCCUCCCAAGCACAUUUAAAAAGGGCAUUGGAAGUCAAAUCAGCCAAAGGCCUAAUUAAAGAAGAAUGUCUUCACCUGACGCCUGAAGUUGCCACCCUCUGGGACCCCUUGAGGAGGAGGCACAUGAAGAAGGGCCUCAGAUGAUCAUCUCAGGGUCUGGGUAGGUUCAUAUGGAAAGAGGCACUCCUUGAGGGGUAUUGUGGUCUUGAGCCGUUUAAGGCUUUAUAGGCCAAAAACAGCACUUUGAAUUGGGCCUGGAAAUUAAUUGGUAGCCAAUGCAGUCAGACCAAGAUCAGCGUAAUAUGCUCAAACUUGCUCCGGUGAACAACCUGGAAGGCACUCCAAGCCACUGAGGCCACCUGAGCCUCAAGUGACAGCAAAGGAUCCAGGAGAACCCCCAAGCUACAUAGGUAAAGGACCCCUGCAUGGGCUCAUCUCUGCUUUCAGGCCAAGGGAGAUGGCGUUUUUCCACUGACAGCUUUUCUGGGUCAUGCUGCUAGUAUGACUAAACUGCUUCUGGUGCACAGAACACCGUGACGAGUGCCAGAGUGCACAAAAACGCUGUUUACCUUCCCACCACAGUGGGACCUUUUUACUUGCGCUGGUAUGCCUUCAAACUGCUAGGUUGGCAGGAGAUGGGACAAAGCAAUGGGAGCUCAUCCUAUUGUGUGGAUUUGAAUUGCCAACCUCACGAUCAGCAAGCCCAAGAGGCUCGGUGGUUUAGACCACAGCACCACCAGCGUCCCUGCCCCAAGCUACAUACCCGCUCCUUCAGAUGCAGUGUAAACCCUUUGAGAGCAGGCCACCUCCCAGCCAUCUGGUCUAGGGAACCACCCACAAACAGGGCCUUCCGUCUUAUCUGGAUUGAGCUUCAGUUUGUUGGAUCUCAUCCAGUCCAUUAUCGAGACAAGACACCAUGCAAUUCCAUGCAACAUUAUUACAAACUACCGUACUUUCAACUUGUAGAAAUUAAGAGAAGGCACUAUAUAUAGCAUGUCCAAGUUUCUUUGUGUUUAAUUUCCCGUCUCUGAACUUUUUAGUAGUUCGAAAGGAGUCUAAAGCUACAAAGCCAAAAAACGUGUGGUCAAAUUAUUACCCUAAAAUAGUUAUAAAUCUAGUCAUAACCUUUGGAAUUCUAACUGAAAGCCUACUACCCUACUUGAAUGUGUUAUAUUGGAGAAAAAGUUCAAGUGCAGUUCAAACUUGAUAUGAAUACAUACAAAAUUUUAAUUGUGUGAAGGCAGCAACUUACGUUAAACUUCUUAAUUUUCAGGGGAGAUUUAAAAUCAUUCCUGCUUUCCUAAGUGUUUGGUGGAAAAUACUGUUGGCUGAAAAAUAGAGUUCUUAAAAUCACUUCUUAAAAUAAAGUACUUAAAAGUAUUAGCUAUGAGUGUAUGCAAUUACUUUUGUUAUUAACCAUUUUAUCACUGAUCUGGUUGCUGCCCUGGGCCAGCCUAAAUGUGUGUUGAUAGCAGGGGUCACCCCUCAAAAAUAUUUCCUUAAGUGAUGCUUUGCCACUCAAUGGUGCCCAAAAUCAUCUGCUUAGUGGCUUCAGUUGACUCUUGCCAAUAGAGUAAGAACACCUUAGUUGUGUGAACAAACCAGUGCACUGGGAGAGAAGGCUUGUGUUGCAUGUGUUAUAGAAAGUAAUGUAGCUUGCCCUUCCACAGGCCUGUUCUUACCCAAUUUCUUAUAUUGUGUUGAAAAGCUGUGAAGUACGGGUAGCUUCCUUGUUCUACUGAAUGUGUGAAGACUGAAAUAUCUGAUUAGAAAUCCAUUGCUUAUUUCAUUAGGAGCAUUGGAAAUCACACAAGUGAGAUAUUCCAUUAUAAACACUUCCAUUUCCUGUGACACAGGAGUGCUAGAUACUGCUGGUUAGUUUUCAAUCAGACAACGAUGCACCAACUUUUAAGGAGGCUUUUAUUUUGCCAUUUAGAAAACAAAUGCAUGCUUCUUGAGUUGAAAACACCCCCCCCAAGAGACACAGCAGUACAAUUAAAGAACAUUUAGUGUACUAUCAAUUAACCUUCCAGGGGUAGGUUAUGAUACUUCACCCAACAAGUUUUUUUAAAAAACCUAACAAAAUCUUGCAUUAGAAACUGAAUAUCCAGCAGCAGCUGAACUGUUGUUCAUGAUACUGGAAAUUCAAAGAGACACCACUUAUUGCUUUGUAUAAAGAAUGCAGGAAAGAAACAUAAGUCAUGUAAAAAAGAAAACACAUAUUGGUACAAUAACCUUAAUCCAAUCUUUCCCAUUGUUGGGGUUAUCUAAAUGGGGUGGGUGGGUGUUUGUUGUUUCAAGCUAUUUACCCAUAGUAAGGCCAAUCCCAAUUUCAUUUUUGUCCUCUGCACUUUGCAAAGGUUCUAUGGUACAGUCAGCUCAUAGAGGGCACAGAAGCUGAGAGCACCCUGCAGCUGUACAGCGAUGGUGAGCCAAGCAUCUUUGAAGUAAUGGUUGUCCAGUCCUUAAGCACUAUAAUCAGUGUAUGUUGGUGAGCUUCCAAAGAACCUCUCAGCCAAGGAUGCAGUUCAGGCUCCACAGAAUCAAAUUUUAAGCCAUACAUGAACUAUGGCUAUCUAAUCUAGGCUCCACAACAUACACUAACAUGUUCCACUAAUCAAGGAAGAUAUUCCUCGGGCUUUCUGCAGGUUUUGAAGCUGUUUUACCAUUUGUCAUACGCUGCAUUGGUAGAUUUUUUUGCUGGUCCAGUGUUCACGGAUCCUGCUUGCUCCCAGACCAUUCUAAUGAAAUCUAUUGCAGGGGCUUUCACCAUUGGGCUGGUCUAGCAAAGGCAGAUGUUUAUAUAUACCCCAUAUUUGGAGCAAUACAUCAUUAAGGAACCAUAUAAUAGCCCCACUCCCAAAUAUUUACAAUAAAGAUUCCGAGGGAACCAUACAGAAGCAACUUGCAGUAGGCAUAAUUUGAGAAUAUGUGCCCGAAUAUGGGUUAUGGUGGAGUUGUAGUUAAUAAACAGAGGUAAGAUUAUUAUUAUUAUUUUAACAAAACAAAACAUUGCUGCUGUAAAGGAAUGGAAAGCUUUUUGAUCCCCUCUGAUUCACUUCACUGAAUGGGGAAAAAAGGAGAAAAACUCCACGUUAACAAAUACCUGCCAUUCACUAUCUACCAAGCUGGAGGCCUUUUGGGAAGCACCAUUAAAAGUAUGGAAAGUGCACAACAACAUCAGGACUUGGGUGGCUGCCCCCUUUAUUUACCAAAUAACUGGGUUCUGUUGUAGCCCAAUUGCCAGAUUUGUACAGUGGUACCUCGGGUUACAAACGCUUCAGGUUAAGAACAGUUCAGGUUCAGAAUGGACCUCCAGAACGAAUUAAGUUCUUAACCAGAGGUACCACUGUAUCACAUUAUCUUUAAGAAGUUUAGUGCUGACAUGGCAAGGUUAUGUAGGAAUGUAGAUUUAAAUGUGUUUAAUUAAAGAUAAUUCACAUACUAUUUCUAAAACCAGAACUGGUGUUUAGACUGAGAGAAAAUUGGAAUGCAAGAUUUAAAAAAAGAAACCCUAAUGAUUUCAAGAUCGUUCUUCACUAAUCAUUCUUCCGAUCCUGAGCAUCCUUGGGUUUUUCUUCUUCUUGGGUUUUUUCUUCUUCAGCAUCUGAAUAUACAGUGUGCUCUUCUCCAUCCUUCAGCAGCUUGCCCACAUGGUGGUAUUUAACUGAAUGAAGACCAAAGAAAGAUACUUUAAUAAACACCCACAAACUUUGAGUACCAACACUUUUUGGGGAGGUGGUUGUGAUGAUGCUUUAAAUGUAAGGUUAGAACAUCCUUGAUACCAAUAGUGAAGCCAACAGAAACCCGUUCUGUUUAGAUUCUGCAACGGGAAAAUUUGGAUUGUGUCUGCCAAGAAGAUGGCAAGUUUUUAUGCAAACACCUGCAGAAAAUUUCCAUGGGUUUGCAUUAAAAUAGCUCCUCUGUCUUGUGGCAGCAAUCCUAACCGCACUUCCCAGAGAACCAAUUCCAUUCAACUUCAACCUGUGGCAUUCUGGAUGAUGCAGGGCUCACAAACUCCUGACUCCAAGGGUCAGGAAUGAGAGCUGUAGUCCCAACUUCAUCCAGAAGGCCAAAGGUUCCUCAAACCUGUCUUCAGGGAUUUUGCUUCUGAGUAAAGAUGCUUGGAAUCGUGCUGUGUGUCUACUAAUAGCACUGUUUUUAGUUAAUGCUAAUGUAAAACAAUGGCCAACUCUGUUAGGAAAAAAAGUGAGAUGAGUUCAAUCCCCUAUCCAUAAUCAGUUAUUGACCAAUAUGCUCUCCUGGGAGGGUGUAAAAGAUUAAAAGUUUUGGGGCAACAACAUUUGAAAUACUUACAUUGGAACUGUUGUUCCCAGUCGCUCAGGGUCUCUCUCUGUGUGGCAUCAAGAUCAGAAAGAUCGUCAUGUCCCUCCUUCAGAAUCUCUCUAUCCAGGCAGAAGGUGGCAAGGCCUCUGGAUGCAU